ACCCUCGGUUCUCGUACGAUCACCGAAGUUAAGCAUUGUUGAUCCUGGCCAGUACUAGAUGGGUGACCAUUUAGGAAAAUCAAGUGCUGUAA